GAUGAACGCUGGCGGCGUGCCUAAUACAUGCAAGUCGAGCGAACGGACGAGAAGCUUGCUUCUCUGAUGUUAGCGGCGGACGGGUGAGUAACACGUGGAUAACCUACCUAUAAGACUGGGAUAACUUCGGAAAACCGGAGCUAAUACCGGAUAAUAUUUUGAACCGCAUGGUUCAAAAGUGAAAGACGGUCUUGCUGUCACUUAUAGAUGGAUCCGCGCUGCAUUAGCUAGUUGGUAAGGUAACGGCUUACCAAGGCAACGAUGCAUAGCCGACCUGAGAGGGUGAUUGGCCACACUGGAACUGAGACACGGUCCAGACUCCUACGGGAGGCAGCAGUAGGGAAUCUUCCGCAAUGGGCGAAAGCCUGACGGAGCAACGCCGCGUGAGUGAUGAAGGUCUUCGGAUCGUAAAACUCUGUUAUUAGGGAAGAACAUAUGUGUAAGUAACUGUGCACAUCUUGACGGUACCUAAUCAGAAAGCCACGGCUAACUACGUG
rnacentral:rRNA from 1 species